UACAGACGGUCCAAACGUUAUUCGGAAUCACUGGGCUUAAAGAGUUCGUAGGCGGUCAGGAAAGUGGGGUGUGAAAGCCCUCGGCUUAACCGAGGAAUUGCGCUCCAAACUCCCUGACUUGAGGAGGCUAGAGGUAAGCGGAACUGAUGGUGGAGCGGUGAAAUGCGUUGAUAUCAGGAGGAACACCGGUGGCGAAGGCGGGUCUCUGGGCCGAUGACUGACGCUGAGGAGCGAAAGCGUGGGGAGCGAACAGG
rnacentral:rRNA from 1 species